CCUACGGGAGGCAGCAGUAGGGAAUAUUGCUCAAUGGAGGAAACCCUGAAGCAGCAACGCCGCGUGGAGGAUGAAGGUUUUCGCAUUGUAAACUCCUUUUGUUAGAAGAGAUAAUGACGAUAUCUAACGAUUCAUCACCGGCUAACUCCGUGCCAGCAGCCGCGGUAAUACGGAGGGUGCAAGCGUUACUCGGAAUCACUGGGCGUAAAGAGCGCGUAGGCGGGAUAGCAAGUCAGAUGUGAAAUCCUAUGGCUUAACCAUAGAACUGCGUUUGAAACUGUUAUUCUAGAGUAUGGGAGAGGUAGGUGGAAUUCUUGGUGUAGGGGUAAAAUCCGUAGAGAUCAAGAGGAAUACUCAUUGCGAAGGCGACCUGCUAGAACAUAACUGACGCUGAUGCGCGAAAGCGUGGGGAGCAAACAGGAUUAGAUACCCGAGUAGUC
rnacentral:rRNA from 1 species